rnacentral:rRNA from 1 species
CCUACGGGUGGCAGCAGUGAGGAAUAUUGGUCAAUGGACGAGAGUCUGAACCAGCCAAGUAGCGUGAAGGAUGACUGCCCUAUGGGUUGUAAACUUCUUUUAUAUGGGAAUAAAAUGUUCCACGUGUGGGAUUUUGUAUGUACCAUAUGAAUAAGGAUCGGCUAACUCCGUGCCAGCAGCCGCGGUAAUACGGAGGAUCCGAGCGUUAUCCAGAUUUAUUGGGUUUAAAGGGAGCGUAGGUGGAUUGUUAAGUCAGUUGUGAAAGUUUGCGGCUCAACCGUAAAAUUGCAGUUGAAACUGGCAGUCUUGAGUACAGUAGAGGUGGGCGGAAUUCGUGGUGUAGCGGUGAAAUGCUGAGAUAUCACGAAGAACUCCGAUUGCGAAGGCAGUUCACUGGACUGCAACUGACACUGAGGCUCGAAAGUGUGGGUAUCAAACAGGAUUAGAUACCCGGGUAGUC